GUUGAACGCUGGCGGCAGGCCUAACACAUGCAAGUCGAACGGUAACAGGAAACAGCUUGCUGUUUCGCUGACGAGUGGCGGGCGGGUGAGUAAUGUCUGGGAAACUGCCUGAUGGAGGGGGAUAACUACUGGAAACGGUAGCUAAUACCGCAUAACGUCGCAAGACCAAAGAGGGGGACCUUCGGGCCGCUUGCCAUCGGAUGUGCCCAGAUGGGAUUAGCUAGUAGGUGGGGUAACGGCUCACCUAGGCGACGAUCCGUAGCUGGUCUGAGAGGAUGACCGGCCACACUGGAACUGAGACACGGUCCAGACUCCUACGGGAGGCAGCAGUGGGGAAUAUUGCACAAUGGGCGCAAGCCUGAUGCAGCCAUGCCGCGUGUAUGAAGAAGGCCUUCGGGUUGUAAAGUACUUUCAGCGGGGAGGAAGGGAGUAAAGUUAAUACCUUUGCUCAUUGACGUUACCCGCAGAAGAAGCACCGGCUAACUCCGUG
rnacentral:rRNA from 1 species